rnacentral:rRNA from 1 species
AGCGGCGGACGGGUGAGUAACGCGUGGGUAACCUGCCUCAUACAGGGGGAUAACAGUUGGAAACGGCUGCUAAUACCGCAUAAGCGCACAGUACCGCAUGGUACCGUGUGAAAAACUCCGGUGGUAUGAGAUGGACCCGCGUCUGAUUAGCUAGUUGGUGGGGUAACGGCCCACCAAGGCGACGAUCAGUAGCCGACCUGAGAGGGUGACCGGCCACAUUGGGACUGAGACACGGCCCAA